rnacentral:rRNA from 1 species
AACGAACGCUGGCGGCAUGCCUAACACAUGCAAGUCGAACGAGACCUUCGGGUCUAGUGGCGCACGGGUGCGUACCGCGUGGGAACCUGCCCUUAGGUUCGGAAUAACUCCCCGAAAGGGGUGCUAAUACCGGAUAAUGUCUUCGGACCAAAGAUUUAUCGCUUUUGGAUGGGCGCGCGUUGGAUUAGCUAGUUGGUAGUGGAAAAGCCUACCAAGGCGACGAUCCAUAGCUGGUCAGAGAGGAUGAUCAGACACACUGGGACUGAGACACGGCCCAGACUCCUACGGGAGGAAGCAGUGGGGAAUAUUGGACGAUGGGCGAAAGCCUGAUCCAGCAAUGCCGCGUGAGUGAUGAAUGCCUUAGGGUUGUAAAGCUCUUUUACCCGGGAUGAUAAUGACAGUACCGGGAGAAUAAGCUCCGGCUAACUCCGUG